rnacentral:rRNA from 1 species
CAGUCGCCGCGGGAACACGGAGGGGGCUAGCGUUGUUCGGAAUUACUGGGCGUAAAGCGCACGUAGGCGGCUUGGUAAGUUAGAGGUGAAAGCCCGGAGCUCAACUCCGGAAUUGCCUUUAAGACUGCCGAGCUAGUAGGUGAGAGAGGUAAGUGGAAUUCCGAGUGUAGAGGUGAAAUUCGUAGAUAUUCGGAAGAACACCAGUGGCGAAGGCGGCUUACUGGCUCAUUCUAGACGCUGAGGUGCGAAAGCGUGGGGAGCAAACAGGAUUAGAUACCCCUGUAGUCCCUGUCUCUUAUAC